GAGCGGUAGAGAGAAGCUUGCUUCUCUUGAGAGCGGCGGACGGGUGAGUAAUGCCUAGGAAUCUGCCUGGUAGUGGGGGAUAACGUUCGGAAACGGACGCUAAUACCGCAUACGUCCUACGGGAGAAAGCAGGGGACCUUCGGGCCUUGCGCUAUCAGAUGAGCCUAGGUCGGAUUAGCUAGUUGGUGGGGUAAUGGCUCACCAAGGCGACGAUCCGUAACUGGUCUGAGAGGAUGAUCAGUCACACUGGAACUGAGACACGGUCCAGACUCCUACGGGAGGCAGCAGUGGGGAAUAUUGGACAAUGGGCGAAAGCCUGAUCCAGCCAUGCCGCGUGUGUGAAGAAGGUCUUCGGAUUGUAAAGCACUUUAAGUUGGGAGGAAGGGCAGUUACCUAAUACGUGAUUGUUUUGACGUUACCGACAGAAUAAGCACCGGCUAACUCUGUGCCAGCAGCCGCGGUAAUACAGAGGGUGCAAGCGUUAAUCGGAAUUACUGGGCGU
rnacentral:rRNA from 1 species